GUUCCACCUUAGGGUUCAAGAAAUGAAACAUAACUUAGGUUAAGAUGUUAUCUUUAGCUGCCAGAGGUCCAGACCAUGUGACCACUAGUCAGGUCUGGCUACUGUCUUCUGCUGCCUCAGGGGUUGCUGAUUAUCUGUGGGAAAGGGUAAGUCUCUGAGGGAGAGAGAGAGACAGAGAUAUGAUUUCUAGAGCUAGAUUUAAUCAGUCAUAAGGACCUUCAGUUUCACUAGGGUGUAGACAAAUGGCUAAUCAUACACUACCCAUUGUUAUCUCACAGCCCCACUUGCUUGCCCACUGAGUCAGCCAACUGUUGAAAGUCCAGCUGCCCCCAUCAAUCCGAAAAUGAAUAAUAGGCUAUCGUUCGCUGCCGAGGGUGGCGCUGACGUCUGAGUGAGGCUGUCUCCAGGAUACAUUCGUAACUCCAUCGGAGAGUUGGAGGAAUGCCACCAGCCAGCCUCAGCACUUACCAGAGGUCCCCUGACGUGGACAAUGGAAGAGGUGAAACAUUUGCCUCACAGCUGUCAUCAACACAGAGCCGCUCUCUGGAAACGCAGAAGAAAAGCGUUCAAAACAAACUGAACCCACUUCCUUCUUUAUAUGGUCAAUGAACCAGCUUAUGGUGUCACAAGCGUAUGACAUGGGGGAAAUAAAACCCUGACUUUUCUGGCGUGAGGGUGGGAAAUAGGAGGAGGAAUGAAGGGAGGAGGCCGCCGGGCACAAGAGGCAGAAGGGCAGCAGAGCCCAGAGCCAGACAUGGAAUCGGCAGCCAGGCCACCGGGCUUCCCAUACCUGCUGCUUCCUGUACCACAGGCUGUGUGAUCCCGGAGGAGUCAGGCAACAUCUCUGUGCCCCGGUUUCCACAUCGUUGGAUAUGAGUGAUAACAGUACAUCUUCCUCACAGACUUGUUAUGAGAAUUAAGUCACACCAAACACAUAUUAAGCCUCAUCUAAGUGUGACUAGUAUUGUUAUGUCUGUUAGGUAAAUACCUCAGAACAUACCAGUGAGAGCUGAGGUGGGCCCAGCAGAGACCACACCAUGAAUUACAGCAGCUUCAGGCCUCAUCUGGGAACACCAACAGGACAAGUGUUGGUGCCCCGGGAUCAGAAGAGGCAGAGGCACCUGUUUCUCCCAGCACCUGGGGAACACACCUAAGUCUCCUGUUCCCAACCCCUCAGCACUUUAGGAAGAGCAGGAGCUGGGGCAGCAUCUGAGACUCAGAGCGUGUUUACCCAAAAGACAGCCUAAAUAUUUGCUAAAGAGGCUGCCUCAUUGACAGGAUGUGUCUCCAUUUAGUCCAUAUUGGGCAAUUGAUUUCGGCCACCAACCAGCUGGGGAGCGUAUGGGGCAGGGAGUGGGAAGAUGUGCUGUUCUGCAGAAGCAGACAGGUUGGCACUAAACAAAACGAGGACCCACAUUUUCUCUGCACAACAGCGGACGCUGCCAGGUCCUUUUAAGACCCGACACGCAGAAAAUGAAACUUUAAACCACGUAGUUAUUCAUCAACAAGUAAAAUGGGAUUAGCAAAAUGGAACGAUCAUUACAAUUUUUCAGAAACUACUACGACAUCUUCUUGCUCGUUUUUGAAGGCAAGAUCCGUAUCUGAAUCCUUAUACAUCAGCUACUGAACAACAUAACCAACGAGGAACUUCCAGCGCUGCCUCACUUACCCAGAAGGUUGAAACGUCAUCUUACAGGUAUUAAGCUUACACGUAUUAAUCCUCAGGAUUAAUAGGAAUUUCUCCAUUCACUCUUUUUUUUAUUCUUAAGUGCAGGAUUGAUCUUGUCUGUAUUUAAAAUUUCGAUAUUACGUUCAUCAUGUUCUGUUUGUUUUCAUUAAUUCUGCCUCAAGUACUCACUUAUCUUCUUGGCAGAAAGCUUAAUAUCUCUGCCUUUCCACAUGAGCUGUUGUAGGCACUCUUGAUAUGCAAAAAGAGCUAAGUCCAACUGCCACCUCCAACUGCGGGGAGAGCACUGGUGUUGGACUGCCCACAACUGCCCUGCUUUCUGGUGCUCCCCUAGCUGGUUGUGAAAUUUCUUGGCAACUGCCCUAUGGAGUUGAAUAGAUCAUCCUGGUCCUGUGCUGUGGCAUGUUUGGGGCUGGCUCCUGGGUUUCUCAAGGGAGGAUGUCCCCAUGCUUUUUACUUCCCACAUGCGGUCAUCUCCCUGGUGCCCAGGAUGACUGCGCAUGGGUUCUCACAAUGGUCUACUCGCCGCUGGCUAGCUCACUGAAUUCUCAGGACGCCUGUAUGUGGGUUCUCAAAGUGUGGGCUCUUUGCAGUCAGCUCUUUCAGGCUACACGCUGAGGUAGGCAAAAUAAUACCCCUGUCCCCCCAAGGAUGUCCACUCCCAAUCCUCAGAACCUGUGACUAUAUUAUGUUUCAUGGCAAAAGGGAAUUGAGAUUGCAGGUGGAAUUAAGGUUGCUAAUACGCUGACCUUGAAAUAAGGAAACUAGCUUGGAUAACCUGGGUGAGCCCAAAGCAAUCAUAAAGAUUUUUAAAUGGGGAAGAAAGAUGCAGAAAAGUCCAAACCAGAAGGAUGCCAUCAUGAGAAAGAUUUGACUGGUGAUUGCUGGCUUUGAAGGUGGAAGAGAGUCAUGAGCCAAAGAAUGCUUGCAGCUUCUGGAAGCUGAAAAGGGCAAGGAAAUGGAUUCUUCCCUAGAGCUUCCGGAAGGAAGACAGCUCACCUUAAUUUUAGCUCAGUGAGACCUAUUUUGGAUUUCUAACCUCUAGAACUGUAAAUUAAUAAAUUUGUGUUCUUUUCAGCUGCUAAGUUUGUGGUAGUUACAGCAACAAUAAAAAACUAAUAUACACAUAUGACCUCCCUAAAUCCCCAAGGUGCCCUCGCCUGGGCUUUCAAGAUGGUAGCUCUCCCUACUCACUUCUUUUAGCUUGCACAUGUAGCGAUCUCCCAGAGGGCCUUGGGGUUCCUGUCUGGAUUUUCAAGGUGAUAGGUGUCCAUGGUUUGUAAUGUUGGCUCACACAAGUGGCCACCUCUAGGAGGGCCUGGGUGCCCAUGUCUCCAAGGUCAGUCCUUUCAGCUCACACAACAUGGCCAUCUCCAGAAUUCCAGGGGGCACUGGCUCAUGACUGUUUCUGGAGUCUGAGCCCUGAUGGAUUAAGAACAUCUGUUCCCCUUUCCUUCCCAGAGAGUGAGAACGCAAUACCAGGAGUAGGAACACUCUUACCUGUAAACCCUCAAAA